AUACGGAGGGUGCAAGCGUUGUCCGGAUUUAUUGGGUUUAAAGGGUGCGUAGGCGGUGCGCUAAGUCAGUGGUGAAAUCCCGCAGCUCAACUGCGGAACUGCCAUUGAUACUGGCGCACUUGAGUACGGACGAGGUAGGCGGAAUUUAUGGUGUAGCGGUGAAAUGCAUAGAUACCAUAAAGAACACCGAUAGCGAAGGCAGCUUACUAGACCGUAACUGACGCUCAGGCACGAAAGCGUGGGGAGCGAACAGGAUUAGAUACCCCUGUAGUCC
rnacentral:rRNA from 1 species